rnacentral:tRNA from 1 species
GGAGAGGUACCGAAGCGGUCAUAACGGCGCCGACUCGAAAUCGGAUGGGGGGCUUUGCCCCCACGAGGGUUCGAAUCCCUCCCUCUCCG